rnacentral:rRNA from 1 species
CCCUACGGGGCGCAGCAGGCGCGAAAACUUUACAAUGCGGGAAACCGUGAUAAGGGGACACCGAGUGCCAGCAUCAUAUGCUGGCUGUCCGGGUGUGUAAAAUACACCUGUUAGCAAGGGCCGGGCAAGACCGGUGCCAGCCGCCGCGGUAACACCGGCGGCCCGAGUGGUGAUCGUGAUUAUUGGGUCUAAAGGGUCCGUAGCCGGUUUGGUCAGUCCUCCGGGAAAUCUGAUAGCUCAACUAUUAGGCUUUCGGAGGAUACUGCCAGACUUGAAACCGGGAGAGGUAAGAGGUACUACAGGGGUAGGAGUGAAAUCCUGUAAUCCA